rnacentral:rRNA from 1 species
GACGAACGCUGGCGGCGUGCCUAAUACAUGCAAGUAGAACGCACAGUUUAUACCGUAGCUUGCUUCACCAUAAACAGUGAGUUGCGAAUGGGUGAGUAACGCGUAGGUAACCUGUCUGGUAGCGGGGGAUAACUAAUGGAAACGAUAGAUAAUAUAGCAUCAUAUUGAUUAUUGCAUGAUAAUUGAUUGAAUGAUGCUAUUGCAUCACUACCAGAUGGACCUGCGUUGUAUUAGCUAGUAGGCGAGGUAACGGCUCACCUAGGCGACGAUACAUAGCCGACCUGGGAGGGUGGUCGGCCAAACUGGGACUGGGACAAGGCCCAGACUCCUUCGGGGAGCAGCAGGAGGGAAUCAUCGGAAAUGGACGGAAGUCUUACCUAGGAACGCCGGGGGAGUGAAGAAGGGUUUCGGAUCGGAAAGCUCUGUUGUUAGGGAAGAACGGGUGUGAGGGUGGAAAGUUCACGCUGUGACGGUACCUUACCAGAAAGGAACGGCUAACUACGUG